rnacentral:rRNA from 1 species
UACGAAGGGGGCUAGCGUUGUUCGGAAUCACUGGGCGUAAAGCGCACGUAGGCGGAUCGUUAAGUCGGGGGUGAAAUCCCGAGGCUCAACCUCGGAACUGCCUUCGGUACUGGCGAUCUUUGAGUCCGGGAGAGGUGAGUGGAACUCCGAGUGUAGAGGUGAAAUUCGUAGAUAUUCGGAAGAACACCAGUGGCGAAGGCGGCUCACUGGCCCGGUACUGACGCUGAGGUGCGAAAGCGUGGGGAGCAAACAGG